AUUGAACGCUGGCGGCGUGCCUAACACAUGCAAGUCGAGCGGUAACAGGUGUAGCAAUACAUGCUGACGAGCGGCGGACGGGUGAGUAACGCUUGGGAAUCUGCCUGUUAGUGGGGGACAACCCGGGGAAACUCGGGCUAAUACCGCAUACGCACUACGGUGGAAAGCCGGGGACCGCAAGGCCUGGCGCUAACAGAUGAGCCCAAGUCGGAUUAGCUAGUUGGUAGGGUAACGGCCACCAAGGCGACGAUCCGUAACUGGUCUGAGAGGACGACCAGUCACACCGGAACUGAGACACGGUCCGGACUCCUACGGGAGGCAGCAGUGGGGAAUAUUGGACAAUGGGCGAAAGCCUGAUCCAGCGACGCCGCGUGGGUGAAGAAGGCCUGCGGUUGUAAGCCUUCGUGGGGAAGAAAGCCUCGAGUUAAUACCUCGGGGUCUUGACGUAACCCAUAGAAGAAGCACCGGCUAACUCUGUGCCAGCCGCCGCGGUAAC
rnacentral:rRNA from 1 species